rnacentral:tRNA from 1 species
UGUUCUGUGGAUUAGUUGGUUAAAGCGCCGAAUACGGAGCCGUGGGUUUGAAUCCCACCCGAACGC